GGCGCGUAGCUCAGUUGGUUAGAGCACCACCUUGACAUGGUGGGGGUCGUUGGUUCGAGUCCAAUCGUGCCUACCA
rnacentral:tRNA from 1 species